rnacentral:rRNA from 1 species
CAAAUUGAAGGGUUUGAUCCUGGCUCAGAACGAACGCUGGCGGCGUGGCUAAGACAUGCAAGUCGAACGGACC